CCUUGUAUUUGCACGGCGUCGCACAAGUACGAGAUACAAGAUUCACAAUACAGAAUACAACCACCAUAUAUGAACAUCCACAUAUUUAUACACCAUUCGCAUUCACAUUUUAUACAUAACAAUUAUUCAUGAUUCCACAUCUAUCAGUUUAAAAUGUUUCCAAUCCGGAAACUCGUUUUGAAAUACUAAUAACCAGGAAAACCAGAAAAUCCUUUUAAAAACUGUUUCACACACGGAAACCCUUUUUCUUUAAAACUUGCUACCACG
rnacentral:lncRNA from 1 species